UCGUGGACUUCAGGAAACAUCCUUCACCACAGCUGCCCCUCACACUAUCCAACUGCCCUGUGUGUCAACCGUUGAGACCUUCAAGUUCCUGGGAAUCACAGUCUCCCAGGACAUGAAGUGGGAGGUCAACACCAACUCCAUCCUGAAAAGGGCCCAGCAGAGGAUGUACUUCCUGAGGCUGCUGAGGAAGCAUGGCCUGCCACAGGAGGUGCUAUGACAGUUCUACAUGGCAGUCAUCGAAUCAAUCCUGUGUUCUUCCAUCACGGUUUGGUUUGGGGCCGCCACAAAAAAGGACAAAAUCCGACUUCAACGGACAGUUAGGACGGCGGAAAAAAAUCAUUGUCACUGCCCUACCCACUCUUGAGGAUUUGCACACUGCAAGAAUCAAGACAAGGGCAUGGAAAAUCCUCCUGGAUCCCCCGCAUCCUGCCCACCACCUUUUCCAGCUACUCCCCUCAGGCAGACGCUACAGAUCCAUGCGCACCAAAUCCAGUAGACACUUAAACAGCUUCUUCCCUCUAGCCAUUAACUCCUUAAACAGUCACUGACGUAUUCACUCUUCUUGUACUACAAAAUGGUACUACAAAGCUACUGGUUACUCUAAAAUGGUUCAAUGAUUUUGUUGUUUACGAUGAUACUAAUGCAGCGUGUUAUACCGGAGACAAAUUCCUUGUGUGUUCUACAUACUUGGCCAAUAAAGAUGAUUCUGAUUCUGA